AAUCAACGCUGGCGGCGUGCCUCAGACAUGCAAGUCGAACGCGAAAGGUUCCUUCGGGAACCGAGUAGAGUGGCGCACGGGUGAGUAACACGUAGGUAAUUUGCCUUUGGGUGGGGAAUAACAGCCGGAAACGGCUGCUAAUACCGCAUAAUGCAGCGGCUCGACAUCGAGACAGUUGUUAAAGCGGGGGAUCGCAAGACCUCGCGCCUAAAGAGAAGCCUGCGGCAGAUUAGCUAGUUGGUAGGGUAAUGGCCUACCAAGGCGACGAUCUGUAACCGGCCUGAGAGGGCGGUCGGUCACACUGACACUGACAUACGGGUCAGACUCCUACGGGAGGCAGCAGUCGGGAAUUUUGGGCAAUGGGCGAAAGCCUGACCCAGCAACGCCGCGUGAAGGAUGAAAUCCCUCGGGAUGUAAACUUCGCAAGAAUGGGAAGAAUAAGUGUGGGCUAAUACCCUCAUGAU
rnacentral:rRNA from 1 species